rnacentral:lncRNA from 1 species
UGGGACUGAAUUUCUUAAGAAAUUUGUAUUGCAUUUCAAUCGAAGUUCAGAUUGGUCUCCCUAUUGUGCCAAGCCAAUGCUUGACUUUGUUCUUUAAUGAAAAAGGGAACAAAGUCAGUCUAAGUGUAUCAUCAAUAAAGUUCUGGAUUUUCAUAGCAGAACAUAUUUCUAAGAACUCAUCCAAAUGCUUAUAAGAAUCUUCAUUGAUAUUCCCAUAGAAAGAUGAGAGCAUCUGGAUUAUG